rnacentral:ncRNA from 1 species
AGUAUUCGUGACGUGUGCAUAAGUCUGUGAUUUCCUUAACCCGUAGUUUUUACUUACCCGAUAACUAAUUUCGCAUAAUGUAUAUUAUGUUAAAU